UACGUAGGGUGCGAGCGUUAAUCGGAAUUACUGGGCGUAAAGCGUGCGUAGACGGUUACAUAAGUCGGGUGUGAAAGCCCCGGGCUCAACCUGGGAAUUGCAUUCGAGACUGCGUAGCUAGGGUGCGGAAGAGGGAAGCGGAAUUUCCGGUGUAGCGGUGAAAUGCGUAGAUAUCGGAAGGAACACCAGUGGCGAAAGCGGCUUCCUGGCCCAGCACCGACGUUCAGGCACGAAAGCGUGGGGAGCAAACAGG
rnacentral:rRNA from 1 species